CCCACCCUCCACAAGUUGCCCUGGAGCACAGGGGAAGACAUGGGAUUUUAAUAAGCUAGAGAUCAAAGUCGGACUGGAAUGACUCUCGGCACCUGAGGGGGACGCGCAGUCGUGGAAGGCUGGGAAAGGGAGGGUCCACCAAGCCUCCGGGAACUGGGCCCAGAGACCAUCGGCCACCCAAGCUCCAGCUGCGCCCAGGAGGCCUGCUCCACCGGCACGGCCCACCCUGCCUGGCCGGCAGGGCUAACGGGUCUUGGGAAAUCUGGCUCUCCCACGAUGUAGCACAUGAGGAAACCAAGCCUCAGAAAGGGCCAGGAACUCACCCCUAAACGCAAGCAACUGGGUCCAGGUCCUGGAGUCUGGUGUCCUCCUGCCGACACAAGGGCUGCAAGGACAAGCAAAGCACAGGGCCGGCGAGGGCGAGGCAGGACGGUGUCACACACAGCUGGACUUGUCAGGACUGUCCUCUCUAAGUGGUGAGCACAGCACGGCGGCCUGGCAGAAGCGGCUGCCAGCUGCAGGCGAGACGUGGGAGGGCCUGCUUGGUUUGCAACGCAUUUUCUGGAUUUGGCAGCCUCCGCGGCCGCAGGCGUGCAAGGUGCACACAGCAGGUGCUCGGGGUCAAACGUGGAGGCUGUGUUCUGCUGGAAGGAACAGAAACCCCGCCGAGCAGUGGCCCACCCGGUGGCGGUUUAUCCCGCUCGAGGAGCAGUCUGGGCGUGCAGGUUAGAGGACUCCGGCUGGAUUCAACUCUUCCUCCCCCAUCCCGUGUCCCCGCUGCCUCCAAACAGGCAUCGCCUUUCCAGGCAGGCAGGCGGGGGAGGCCAAGGGGGAUGAGCAGCAAGUGUCUCAAACUUCCCCGGAAGCCCCACCCCAAAACUUCUGCUCACACCUCACUGCGCAGACCGGCAGCUCAGUGCGCCAGUCAGCCGGGGCUGCCGGAACGCAGCGCCCCAGACCGGCGGCUCAGACAACAGACACUACUUCUUCCAGUGUGAGGCCGCAAGUCCGAGAUCAAGGAGUGGGCAGGCUGGGCCCUCCUGAGUUCUCUCUCCUUGGCUCUUAGUCGUUGUCUCCUCUGUGUCCUGGCCUGGUGAUCCCUUCGUGCAUGUCUGUGUCCUAAUCUCCCUUCUUGUAAGACACCAGUUGUACCGGACCAGGCCCACCCUCACGACCGUUCCCCUUAAGCACCUCUGCCAAGGGCCGUCUCCAAACACGGACCACCCUGAGGUCCUGGGGUUGGGACUCAGCAUACGGAUUUUGGGCGAGACACAGUUCAGCCGCAGCACUGGCCAUCCCCAGCUGGGCGAGGGACGGGGCCAGGCCUUUCAGCCUUCCCUACAAACCCAGCCAGCCCUGGAGCUGGCAGCCUGUGCGUGGGAGUGCGGGGGCCUGUCCCCAGGGUCUGCGACCCCUCGCUCCCAAGACUACUGACUUGUCUAGGCUAAGAUUUCUGCUGCAGUGCGGUGACGAGUUUUGGCUGGCACACAGAGUCCACCUGCCACCGUGGAACGCUUAUGCAAAGCCCAGCUCCAGACCCAGAGCAGGAUGGCAGCUGAAGUGGUUAAUGGGCUGCCUGGUGGAGGCAGCGGAAUUUGCCAGAGUGUGUUGUCAGAGUUGGCCAGGAUGCUCACGCGGAGGCCUGGGCUUUCUCAGAGGCUGGGCCCACUGCCUCCCACAGACCUCCCGAGAUAAGGCCAUGACCUGGCAGGAAAGUCUGCCCACCUGGGGUGGAUCAGCCACCGUGGCUAGGCAGCAGGCCACCACUUGCCGAGGCUGCAGGCUGGACAACCAAGACACCCAUCUCCCUGGAGCCCCAGGGACCACUGUGAGUCUAGAAAUCGAGGAAUGCUGUCGGUGUCCUUCCAGGUGGUAUGUUUUGGGAGGUCAGUGGCCCAGAGGUAUCAGGGAGGUCCCUGGGCAGCAGGUAGAUCCAGCUACCCACUGAGGGUCAGCCAUUUAUUUGUCUUUGCAGGCUAUUACAGAGACCACCUGGGCUGGAGGACAAGAGCUGCUGAGCACAGCUGUGCAGGCUGGGCACUGUACAAUCUAGGGGAGUCGUGUACAUAAGUAACUUUCCCUGGCAUCUUGGUUCAAAUACAGCAGCUUUGCUAGA